rnacentral:rRNA from 1 species
UACGUAGGGGGCAAGCGUUGUCCGGAUUUAUUGGGCGUAAAGAGCGUGUAGGCGGCCAGGUAGGUCAGCUGUGAAAACUCGAGGCUUAACCUCGAGACGCCGGCUGAAACCCUCUGGCUAGAGUCCGGAAGAGGAGAGCGGAAUUCCUGGUGUAGCGGUGAAAUGCGCAGAUGUCAGGAAGAACACCCGUGGCGAAGGCGGCUCUCUGGGACGGUACUGACGCUGAGACGCGAAAGCGUGGGGAGCGAACAGG